UCCAGCAGCCGAGAUUGGUUCAGACUUCCCAGUAAGGUGAUUGUGAAAAUACGUGCUUCUCUGCCUAUUCUUGUGACUGUCUGUAGAAGACUCUUGUAGAGGCUGCCUUGGAGGGGGAAGAUCAAAUUCAAAGCUAGAGGUAUCUAAGGAGAGUUUCUAAGGAGGUGGGGUCAAGGUGGAUAGAGACCCCUCUCAACAUGGAAGUUCUUCUCAUUCCUGUGCUAGUUUUCCUGCAUCUCGUUCCGCAGCCAGCAUCACCUGCAGGAUCUCUCCCUCCCCCCGAACUCUCGGUACAGCCAAAGUACCCUGAAUACUUUGAAGGUGAGAAGGUGGUGCUCAUAUGCUCAGCUUUCCCAAAUGGGACGGUGGAGGGAUACAGGUUCUUCGAUCAGGACGGGCAACAGGUUGUCAAAAUGGCUGCCGACCCUUAUCAAAAGGGCAGACUGGUUUUUAGGGCUGAAAUGAGCAAGAUGGGAAAUUACAGCUGUGAUUACUGGAUGGGGAAAGCUGAUACAGAGGUCACAUCUACACGGAGCAACUCCAUCUCCCUUCAAGUGAAAGAAGCCCCGGAAGCCCCCUCCCUCUCUUCAAGCCCCAGCCUCCUUGAGUACAACCUGGGAGAUAAUGUCAGCCUUGUGUGCUCAGCUCCGCCUGAAAGAAAGGAAGUAAAGGAGUUCCAGUUUUAUAGCGACAAAGAGGAAAUAUCAGUUGUGCCUCCAUAUGGCAACAUCUACAUUCACAACAUGAGCAUCAUGGAACCCAAAGAUGUGGGGAGCUUCAGGUGUGGCUACGUAGUGCAUCUUUUUGGAAGAAAGGUUAUUUCAAAGAAGAGUAAUUCUGUCACCAUUGUUCACACAGUCAACUGGAACUUAAUCAACUUUCCCAGCUGGAAACGGAUGGUGGCCAUUGGUGGCUCCUUCUUCACCAUCAACAGCCUCAUCUUCCUCAUCUCCCACUGGUGUUUUUAAACCACAGGUCUCCUCCUCAGGUGACUGCAAUAGUCCUCUUUGCCCAACUGACAGAAGUCUGACCUCAGCUGUUCAUCAACCCGAUUGUGGAUUCAUUCACCAAAUGAGCCAGCUUCCCCCAUAGAUCACAUAACCAGGAGGAAAAAUCUGAAUCCAUCUUCCACAAAAGAGCACAAACAGAGGGCUGUGGGGUGGAAACCAAGUUCUGGGGCAUAUCAUUUGCAGCGGAAAUCAUUUUGAUUGCUCUGUCUUUACAGACUUUAUCCCAUACUGCAGCAAUUGUUUCAGGGGAGGAGGUAAAUUGAUGGCUCCGCAAAAUCAUUUUGUUGUGUAAACCUUUCACAGGAAUGAGGAGAUUCUGGCUCUGCAAUGUUGCUGAAUUUCAAUUUCCAUCAGCUUCAGCCAGUUUCCUGAUCCCUGCUCUAACAUGCUGACCCCCCCUUUUUUUAAUGGGAAAAAACCCAAUUCAUCAAAAGCAGAUUCCUAAUCAGUUGAAAAAAAUCUUUGGAGGAAAGAAACAACAGCAACAAGAACAAGAACAACUCAGGUCCUUCCGCCCUUUGGGACAUUUGCUUUGAGACUUGUGCUUUUCCUUUCAACAUUCUCCUCUCAGUAUUAGUGGCUGUCUGGCACACCUAGAUUAGCCCUAGCAUUUAUAGAUAGAUAGAUAGAUAGAUGAUAGAUAGAUGAUAGAUAGAUGAUAGAUAGAUAGAUAGAUAGAUAGAUAGAUAGAUAGAUAGAUAGAUAGAUAGAUGAUAGAUAGAUAGAUAGAUGAUAGAUAGAUAGAUAGAUAGAUAGAUAGAUAGAUAGAUAGAUAGAUAGAUAGAUAGAUAAACUUUAUUUCGGCCAAAGGCCCAUAAUGUACUGCAACCAAGAAUAAAACAGUAUAAAACCGACAUACAUAAAAACAAUCAGACAAAUUAAAAACAUAAAAGUAUCAGAACAAUCAGGCAAAAUUAGUCCCUCAUACAAGGAACUUAUGUACAACAUUUUUAAAACGUUUCAAGUAGUUUUGUGGGGCUUUUAGCUAUGGUUAAAACGUUAGUGCAUUGCAGGCCUUCAUUUUUCAUUACUCAGCUCAGAAGGUUACUUGAAUGAUGUAUCUUGGUGUCAGUAGUCGUUAAGUAAGUUAUGCUGUUUUUUGUAAGAGAGAACUGAAAUCAAAUAUCUUGCUACAAGUAAUGUUUUGGUCGUAUCAUCAUCUUGCAGCAGGUAUGUUAAUUGGGUCUCCAGCGGUUUGUCCGUGAUUUCCAGAAUUAGAGGGUACAAGAUUUUAGUCCAAGCGGGCGUAUGCAGGGGGCAACAGAACAGUAUGUGGUAGAGGGAUUCUAUUGUUCUGUUGUCACACGUGCAUAAAACUGAGAUUUGGCCUUUGGGAAACCUGUGCCCCAGGACAUUGGAUGGGAAAACAUUAAAUCUUGCUUUGGUGAAGGCGAAUCUGUGGGCUGCGACAGAAAGAAAAGACAGGUACGGUGGAAUCUGAUGCGUGGGCUGUAUGCCUUGAUUCAGCGGGGAACAUGUUCCACCUCCCGUUAUAAUAUUUUGAUGGAAAUCAUAGUUAUCUAGUUUUUGAAUUAUAGUUCUUUUGGCUGAGGGAAGAUCUAAUUUCAAUAGGUCCGAUGGGAACAAUCCGUAGGACAUAAUUUUGGAGUGGAUUUUUUUUGCCCAGGGACUAACAAAGUACCAGCAUUUGUAAAUAUAUUUCACUCCCUCAAAAAACGUGGUUGUUGUUUUUUACAUUAUUAUUAUAAUCAUUUUGCUAAAAAACAAAAAAACAAAGAAAGAAAAAUCAGUACCACAAUAGUUACAAUGAAACUAGAUGGGAAAUUAGCAUGCUCUCUAUCAAUCAAACACAUCGCUUUCUGGAUUCUUUCUAAGUAUUAUUAUUAUUAUUAUUAUUAUUAUUAUUAUUAUUAUUAUUAUAUGUCCAUGGAGUUUUCUUGGCAGUGAUACUGGAGUGGCUUGCCAGUUCCUUCUCCAGGUGGAUCACGUUUAGUCAAAACUCUCCACUAUGACCUGUCCAUCUUGGGUGGCCCUGCAUGGCAUAGCUCAUAGCUUCUCUGAGUUAAUCAAGCCCCUUCGCCACGACAAGGCAUUGUCAUGUCAGCCCUGAGUGCUCACUGGAAGGACAGA